GGGCCCGUAGCUCAGUGGCAGAGCAGGGCACUCAUAAUGCCUCGGUCGCAGGUUCGAUCCCUGCCGGGCCCA
rnacentral:tRNA from 1 species